UUGCUUUAGCAGCACUUAUACUAAAAUUGGAGCGAUACAGAUAAGAUUAGCAUGGCCCCUGCUCAAGUAUGACAUGCAAAUCCAUGAAGCAUUCCAUAUUUUU